AUGGCUAUCAGAAUUCUAUCCUUGACUUCAAGUGCAUCAGGUUGUGAAAGAAAUUGGAGUUGGCAUGAAGGGAUUCAUACUAAAAAAAGGAACAAGCUCACUUCUGAGAGGCUUGAGCAACUUGUGUUCGUUCAAUUCAAUGCUAUCCAUGCACAGAAGAAAGAAAAGGCUAAGAAGAACAAAAUGGUGGAUCCCCUUCUAGCUACUGAAGCAACAUGUGCUCAAGGAUGGAUUGUGGAAGGUGGAGAAGAGGAUGAAAACAGUUAUGUUGAUCCUGUUACGGGGCUAACAUGACAGCUAAUUGCAGAAACUUGUAGUGCUGAGGAAGUCACUAGACUUCGGAGAAGUGCAAGACUGAAUCAGCCAAGAGAGAUUGAAGAAGACAUAUACUCUGAACCUGAGGAUGAUCCUAUUAAUGAGGAAGAAAUUGAGUUUGAAUCUGACCAAGAAGAUGUGGUCACAGCAGGCUAUGAGGCAGAGAAGGGGGUUGGGACUAGUGACAAUUGAGCUGCUCCAAGUCAUAUGAUAUGAUCAGAGCCUUUUUUUAUUAUGUGUGUGAUUUGUGUAAUGCUGUCGGCUGUCCUAUUUGUGCCUUGUGACUUGUGAGUUGUGACUUGAGAACUAUGUUGUGUGUUGGUUGUUUGUGAAUCAUUUGUGAUUUGCCUAA